UACAGAGGGGGCAAGCGUUGUUCGGAAUUACUGGGCGUAAAGGGCGCGUAGGUGGCCUUCUAAGUUGAACGUGAAAUCCCUGGGCUCAACCCAGGAACUGCGUCCAAGACUGGGAGGCUUGAAUCCGGGAGAGGGAUGCGGAAUUCCAGGUGUAGCGGUGAAAUGCGUAGAUAUCGAGAGGAACACCUGCGGCGAAGGCGGGUUGCUGGGCUGAUACUGACGCUGAGGCGCGAAAGCCAGGGGAGCGAACAGG
rnacentral:rRNA from 1 species